GAACUCUUCCAGCUGUAUGGUGGCAUAUUUGAGAUUGGGAAGGGAAAAACUAAUUUCUUUGUUACCUAAAGAGUAAUGGACCAUGUUGACCAGCUGAGGAACACAAGUAACAGAUCACACGUUAGUCAGCUAGAGAGCACAACUUCAACAACAUCUAGGCACAAUGGUAACUGAUGUGCUUGAUGUACUGUAAUGAAAAAGGAUGAAAAAGAGAAGAGAAGAAGAAAAAGAUGGAACGGCAAAAAGUCUGUUGGGUGAGCUUGAUAAAGGUUCAGAAUAGCAACCAGCCAGGAUGAGGCAUUGUGUUUCUUUGGUUCCUGGAAGAGAACCUUGCUGAACUCGUGAUAUGACCAUUGUUCCAGUUGUGAGAUAAUUUGAAAUGAGGCAUUGGUUUUGCUUGGUUUCAGGAAAGGAAGCUGUGCUGAACUUUUGGGAUGACAAUUAUUCCAGCAGAGAGAUAGCUUGAAAUUAUUUUUAUCAUACGUUUAGCAGUUGUAAUGAUUGGUAAUGAUGAGUGGUGUCAUUUUUGAACAUUAUAAAGGCCUCUCAUUUUUU